rnacentral:rRNA from 1 species
GUACACUCCUACGGGAGGCAGCAGUGGGGAAUAUUGGACAAUGGGCGCAAGCCUGAUCCAGCCAUGCCGCGUGAGUGAUGAAGGCCCUAGGGUUGUAAAGCUCUUUCACCGGUGAAGAUAAUGACGGUAACCGGAGAAGAAGCCCCGGCUAACUUCGUGCCAGCAGCCGCGGUAAUACGAAAGGGGCUAGCGUUGUUCGGAUUUACUGGGCGUAAAGCGCACGUAGGCGGACUAUUAAGUCAGGGGUGAAAUCCCGGGGCUCAACCCCGGAACUGCCUUUGAUACUGGUAGUCUUGAGUUCGAGAGAGGUGAGUGGAAUUCCGAGUGUAGAGGUGAAAUUCGUAGAUAUUCGGAGGAACACCAGUGGCGAAGGCGGCUCACUGGCUCGAUACUGACGCUGAGGUGCGAAAGCGUGGGGAGCAAACAGGAUUAGAUACCCUAGUAGUCCC